AGAGUUUGAUCCUGGCUCAGGACGAACGCUGGCGGCGUGCCUAAUACAUGCAAGUAGAACGCUGAAGGAGGAGCUUGCUUCUCUGGAUGAGUUGCGAACGGGUGAGUAACGCGUAGGUAACCUGCCUGGUAGCGGGGGAUAACUAUUGGAAACGAUAGCUAAUACCGCAUAAGAGUAGAUGUUGCAUGACAUUUGCUUAAAAGGUGCACUUGCAUCACUACCAGAUGGACCUGCGUUGUAUUAGCUAGUUGGUGGGGUAAGGGCUCACCAAGGCGACGAUACAUAGCCGACCUGAGAGGGUGAUCGGCCACACUGGGACUGAGACACGGCCCAGACUCCUACGGGAGGCAGCAGUAGGGAAUCUUCGGCAAUGGACGGAAGUCUGACCGAGCAACGCCGCGUGAGUGAAGAAGGUUUUCGGAUCGUAAAGCUCUGUUGUAAGAGAAGAACGAGUGUGAGAGUGGAAAGUUCACACUGUGACGGUAUCUUACCAGAAAGGGACGGCUAACUACGUGCCAGCAGCCGCGGUAAUACGUAGGUCCCGAGCGUUGUCCGGAUUUAUUGGGCGUAAAGCGAGCGCAGGCGGUUAGAUAAGUCUGAAGUUAAAGGCUGUGGCUUAACCAUAGUAGGCUUUGGAAACUGUUUAACUUGAGUGCAAGAGGGGAGAGUGGAAUUCCAUGUGUAGCGGUGAAAUGCGUAGAUAUAUGGAGGAACACCGGUGGCGAAAGCGGCUCUCUGGCUUGUAACUGACGCUGAGGCUCGAAAGCGUGGGGAGCAAACAGGAUUAGAUACCCUGGUAGUCCACGCUGUAAACGAUGAGUGCUAGGUGUUAGACCCUUUCCGGGGUUUAGUGCCGUAGCUAACGCAUUAAGCACUCCGCCUGGGGAGUACGACCGCAAGGUUGAAACUCAAAGGAAUUGACGGGGGCCCGCACAAGCGGUGGAGCAUGUGGUUUAAUUCGAAGCAACGCGAAGAACCUUACCAGGUCUUGACAUCCCUCUGACCGCUCUAGAGAUAGAGUUUUCCUUCGGGACAGAGGUGAAGAGAAAUUUUUGAAACCAAGCUUCAAAAAAGUCGCUCGUCAUCGUCUCUUCGUAAGUCAUUGGAGCGAUUAACUCACCAUUUGUUAGACCUGCAACCAAAGAAAUCCUCUGAUAUCUUCUUCCAGAUACUUUGCCUCUUCUUAACUGACCUUUUAAUGAGCGACCAUAUUCUCGAUAAAAAUAAGUAUCGAAUCCUGUUUCGUCAAUCUAAACAGGUGCUAGGUGCUUUAAACUAUUAAAAUUCUUAAGAAAUAAGGCUACUUUUUCUGGGUCUUGUUCAUAAUUAGAUUGAAACUAGAAUAGUACACCUCUGCUUCUAAAACAUUGUUAGAAAUCGAUUUGACUGUCCUGAUUGAUUUGUCAUGUUCUUAUUUCAUUUUACUAUAUUUUUGUUUCGCGGGAAGUCUACUAAGAUACUUAAAGAUGCAGAUAGUGAAAAAAGGUGUAGACAUUACCGUAAAAAAGUGAUACAAUUGUAUGAUGUUCAAUGUAUAGGUGUUAAUCAUGAGUAGACGUUUUAAAAAACUCAGGUUCACAGAAAGUGAAGCGAAGUGUUAAUAUAGUUUUGUUGACUAUUUAUUUAUUGUUAGUUGUUUUUAUUGUUCUUAAUCUUUAAGUACAAUAUCCUUGCUUUUAGAUAUCUUAAUCUAGUGGUAACUGCGUUAGUCCUACUAGUUGCCUUGGUAGGGCUACUCCUGAUUAUCUAUAAAAAAGCUGAAAAAUUUACUAUUUUUCUGUUGGUGUUCUCUAU
rnacentral:rRNA from 1 species